rnacentral:rRNA from 1 species
GACGAACGCUGGCGGCGUGCUUAACACAUGCAAGUCGAACGGAAAGGCCCUGCUUGCAGGGUACUCGAGUGGCGAACGGGUGAGUAACACGUGGGUGAUCUGCCCUGCACUUCGGGAUAAGCCUGGUAAACUGGGUCUAAUACCGGAUAGGAGCCAUUUUUAGUGUGAUGGUUGGAAAGUUUUUUCGGUGUAGGAUGAGCUCGCGGCCUAUCAGCUUGUUGGUGGGGUAAUGGCCUACCAAGGCGGCGACGGGUAGCCGGCCUGAGAGGGUGGACGGCCACGUUGGGACUGAGAUACGGCCCAGACUCCUACGGGAGGCAGCAGUGGGGAAUAUUGCACAAUGGGCGCAAGCCUGAUGCAGCGACGCCGCGUGGGGGAUGACGGCCUUCGGGUUGUAAACUCAUUUCGCUAGGGACGAAGCUUUUUGUGACGGUACCUAGAUAAGAAGCACCGGCUAACUACGUG